rnacentral:sRNA from 1 species
UUGGUUUAUCAAGUUAGUGCUGUUGGCAGAAGAGGUACAGUAUAGGCAGAUUCUGUGCAAGCUUCCCCACAUCAUCCUGCCAAUGCACUUUAACCCUGACCUGGAGAGACUACCUUUAGAAGAAGGAUGUUUUUUUUCCCCUCUAUGACUGUU